GAUGAACGCUGGCGGCGUGCCUAAUACAUGCCAGUCGAGCGAACGGACGAGAAGCUUGCUUCUCUGAUGUUAGCGGCGGACGGGUGAGUAACACGUGGAUAACCUACCUAUAAGACUGGGAUAACUUCGGGAAACCAGAGCUAAUACCGGAUGAUAUUUUGAACCGCAUGGUUCAAAAGUGAAAGACGGUCUUGCUGUCACUUAUAGAUGGAUCCGCGCUGCAUUAGCUAGUUGGUAAGGUAACGGCUUACCAAGGCAACGAUGCAUAGCCGACCUGAGAGGGUGAUCGGCCACACUGGAACUGAGACACGGUCCAGACUCCUACGGGAGGCAGCAGUAGGGAAUCUUCCGCAAUGGGCGAAAGCCUGACGGAGCAACGCCGCGUGAGUGAUGAAGGUCUUCGGAUCGUAAAACUCUGUUAUUAGGGAAGAACAUAUGUGUAAGUAACUGUGCACAUCUUGACGGUACCUAAUCAGAAAGCCACGGCUAACUACGUG
rnacentral:rRNA from 1 species